GAGGGUAUAGCUCAGUAGUAGAGCAUAUGCUUAGCAUGUAUGAGGCCCUGGGUUCAAUCCCUAGUACCUCCA
rfam:Camelus ferus unplaced genomic scaffold scaffold199, whole genome shotgun sequence.